rnacentral:tmRNA from 1 species
GGGGGCGAUCGGUUUCGACGGGGGUCGCGAAAUCGCCUGGAGCAUGCCGAGGGCGUCAUCUUCCUCGUUAAUCCGGUGGCAAAAAACUCAGACGCCAACGACGACGUCUACGCUGUAGCCGCUUAAGGCUUAAGCCCCGAACCCACUUGUGCCUGUGCUCGUGGAUGUAGGGUCACUAUCACGGGAUCGCUGCUGGUUGCCGUCCGUCGGCCAGCGGUUAACCUAAAACGGGCUGGUCCUUCGGUGCGCUUUGCACGCCGUGUUGCCGCGGGACGAGACCAAAACGGCGCGCUAAGCAUGUAGCGCCGGGGAUGUAGCGCCUUCGGACGGGGGUUCAAUUCCCCCCGCCUCCACCA